UACGUAUGUGGCAAGCGUUGUCCGGAUUUACUGGGCGUAAAGAGCGCGCAGGCGGCCAAGUCAGUCGACUGUGAAAGCCCCCGGCUUAACUGGGGAGGGUCAUUCGAUACUGCUCGGCUCGAAGACAGGAGAGGGAAGCGGAAUUCCCGGUGUAGUGGUGAAAUGCGUAGAUAUCGGGAGGAACACCAGUGGCGAAGGCGGCUUUCUGGCCUGUUCUUGACGCUGAGGCGCGAAAGCUAGGGGAGCAAACGGG
rnacentral:rRNA from 1 species